GGGCUGGGCUGGCUAUGGGGGCAGCACCUCCCUUGCUACCUAAAAGACCCAUAAGAGAGGCUGCCCCAUGUGCCAGCCCCUGGACAGGAAGAAGGGGUCCAUGUGUGGCAGGGCAUGGCAGCCCUGGAGGCAAUGCAACCAGGAUGUGCUGAAGUGAAUAUAAUUUAAAUGACUCCUAUGUGUAAUUUGUGUCACUGUGUUUCCUUUGUCCUCCCUCCUAAGUUUCUUCAUGUUAUUUGUAUCUUGCAAUAAUUUUACCUUUACAAAAAUAUUUUUGGUGGGUCUGGAUCCUCUUGUAAUGACAGUGUUUAGCGCAAUGGGUUUUUGAGUCCGAUUUGGGAUUUUAAGCCUGACUAAUAUAAAUAAUGCAGUGUAAUAGUAAUCAAAAUGUACCAUCCUGGAAUAAAAGUUUAGCACUCUAUUAUGUUUGUUACAAACACGUAUGUAAAGCAGGUGAAUAAUUUAGAUUCUUACUGGGUUUUUCAAGCAGCAGGGUUUGAAAGUCACAUAAAUAUCACCUGAAGACUUUUCCCUACUGAAACAGAGCUCCUUCUGGAGUGAAACAAAGCAGCUGUUCAAUAUUUCACAAUAGCAAUACACAGCAAUUCAGGACAGGAAGUGACGUAUUUUGUCCAGCUGAAGCAAUGGGGCAACAUUAAAUAGGAAGAAAAUAAUGACUCGCCUUGGAACUUUGCCAAGAUGACAGUGUUAACAUGCACCCUUUCACAAGAACGUCUUCCUGCACAUCUUAGUAACUAAUAUUGAACCAGUAGUUCGAAUCUGACAAACACAAACUAUUUCAUUUUGCAGCUUAUCAUUUUUAAAAAUACAAAUUUAAUUUGUUUCUGAAUCCCUGCAAAUGAAGGCAGUCUAUUAAACUGUAUACUGAUAAAACCAGUAAUAUGUGUAUUUUCUUUUGAGAGAUUUGAAGCAGCCAAUGCAGUGUAAUACUUCAGUUUGCUUGGAAAUAUCAGCUACAGAAUUGUUGUUAAACAUCCAUGCUGGAAGGCUUGUUCAGAAAGCUGGGGCCUUUACACUGCGUACUUAUAAAAUGUAGCAUUUUUUUUGGUUUGAAAACCUGUCUCAGCAGAAGUAGGCGUAAACAUGCCUUAGAAAUGUUCCAGUUAAUAAUGAACAGGGUGAUGAAAUUAGAAAGCCAUAAUUUAAGAUGAAUAGAUUUAGAAACACUUAAUCAGUCAAGACCCAGCUCAUUUAUAGAGAAAAAAAAAGUGACAAAGGUCAGAAUAGAACAGAUUUUCUUUCUUUCCCUAAGCCAUUCUUCUAGGUUAAGGCUUCUGAUUCCCCACUCCUCCUCACAUACCUGAUGACAGGUAGUUUCACUGACCACUUGUGCUAACCAUGAUUUUUUCUUAAAUUGCUCUCCUCCCUGCUCCACCCAGAUGUGACUUGUUCUGCAUUAUUCUGUGCAUCCUCCCUGCACGGAGUCCACUGGAUUGUAAGAAUUACCCUAUGAGAUGAAGCCAGUCAUCUGUCUGAUCUUGAUAUCCUAUCUCUGACUCUGGGCAGUACCUGCUACUUUGGGGAAGAGUGUAAAAUCUUGCCUAAUGGACAAUUAUGCAACAGCAUGUCUAUAGGAAAGAUGAUUUCUAACUCCAAGCAAUUGGGCCCCAAGUCUCAGAGGUGCUUAGGGUGCUAAAGUCUGUGGUUUAGACACCAUUGAUAGCCUCCAGUGUAGAUAUUAUCUAUUUGAUGUCUAAAUAUUAUCUAUCUCCCUUCAGGCUUAAUUUUUCUGCCAUUGGGCCUGCACAAAGCCACUAAAUGUGGGUGCAACAUACUGCUAAUUCCAGAAGUGAGAUUUCAAAAUAGCCAUUCCCUGCCUGUUUCACUAGCAGGGCUCGAUCCCUUGUGUGUUCAGAGCAUGUGUAAGCCAUGGGGGUGCAUGCAGGCAGGCACGCGUGCAUAUGUUUCAUCCCAUAAUAGCCUAGUUACUAGUAGUUGGAUGCCUUUCCUGGAAUGUAGUAGACCCAGGUUCAUAUCCUUGCUCUGAUACAGGAUCAAGAAAGCUCAACAUCUGUGUCCCAACAGAGCACCUUAACCAUUAAUUUAUCGACUAUCUUGGAAUGGAUUUGUUUCAGCGUCUCCUGUUGGACCUGUUCCACUUUGUAUAACUAAUUAAAUCUUUUUGGAGCUCUGCUAAUAAAUAAUUAUGUGAAGUGGAACAACUGAAACCCAGAAUAACCAGUAGCCUGGUGGUUAGGGCACUCCUCUGGGAUGUGGGAGACGUGUUGAAAUCCUUGCUCUGGGUAGGUAGAACAGGGAUUUAAAGACAGGUCCCAGCUGAGAGCUGUAAGGACUGGGUAUGCUGGAGGGGGUGUUCUCUCCCCUGAUAAGGAGAAGGUGCUUAACCUCAGGAAAGGGUUCACAGCUCGGGAUCCCAAGGGGAAGGAGACAUUUGCCUUUUGUCCAAGAAGUCCUCCUCCUACCUCUGCAUUUCAGCCCUGGCCCGGUUUAGGUGCCUAACCCUCCCUGUAGACUGUAUGCAGAGCCUAACUUGAGGUGGCUGUUACGGUGCAGAAGGGCUACAUGCAAAAAGGACCUUGGAUGCUGCAAGGCCUAACACAGGUCCCUGGAGUCAAGUGUGGAGCCUUGUGUCAGGUGCGUGGCCUAGCUGCAUGGGGAAGGCUGGUACCUCAGAAUGGGAUCUGGAAACCCCUUGAGCAAACAAAACACUGCCAAAGUCAGCAGCUCGGCCUGCAGCAGCCCAGCACUAGCUGCUAGGAAAUGCUGCUGAUGGGUAUGUCUUAGACCCUGCCUGUCUCCACACCUCGCAUACCUGACUCAGGACUGCACAGAGACAUCUGAUCCAUUCAAGAUCCACAGCUUUGAACUCUCUCCUGAAGGGUAUCUCAGCCCUUUCCUUAAAAAAAAAUAAGCAAGGGUGACCUUUUUCUUCUAAAACAUAGCCCAGAUCAUCUUUGUUGCAAAUUAAUUGACUUCUUGUCCUUCCCUAGUGGCCAUGAAAAAAAUGAAUCAUACACUAUAAAUGCAUGUCCUCCCUUAGUCUUUUCCUUUCUAGACUAAGCAAACCCAAUUCCUUCUGCUUCCUCCUGGGUCAUGUUUACUAAACCUCUUAUCAUUCUUGUUUCUCUUCUCUGGAGUCUCUCCCUCACUCAUUCGUUUCCAUCUUUCUUCAUGUAUGAUGCCCAAACCUGUCCUCUGUUGGGUAGUAGAAUAAUCUACUGUCUAGGUGUCCAGACAGUGGAAUAAGCUCCCUCCAGAGGUGGUGCAGUCACCUACCCUGGGGAUCUUCAAGAGGAGACUAGACAGUCACCUUGCUGGGGUCACCCAACCCCAAAUUAUCUUAUCUGCUUGGUGCGGGGGGCUGGACCUGAUGAUCUUCCAAGGUCCUUUCUGGCCUUACAAUCUAUGAAUCACUUUUGUCUUAAUAUUCCUGUCAGUGUUGCCCAGAAUGAGUUUUGUCUUUUUUUGCAAUGAGUUUUGUCUUUUUUUGCAAUAACACAAUAUUGUUGACUCACUUAAUUUGUGGUCUGCUAUUUCCCCUGCAAUUUUUUCUGCCUAGCAAGAUAUUCCUCAUUUUUUAUUUGAGUCCUCAUUCCUAAGGGGAGCCAUUUUUGCUUUGCUGAAAUUCAUUUCACACUGUCUCUCCAGGUUAACAUCUUUUAAAAUGUUGGUCCUAUCCUCCAAAGCACUUGCAACCCAUAAAUAUACAUGGCAACAGGGAACAGAACUUGGGUUUCUCCUACACGGGUAAGUGCUCUAGCUGUUAGGUUACAAAGUCAUAUUCUCAGAUUUGAAAGGUACAGCCAUCUUCACUUCAUGCCCAUUGUCCUUUCGAGAUUUGUAUUCUUGACUUGUAGGUACAGGAAACCAGAGCAAUGGGCCAGUUAAUUACUCUUGUGCACACAUGUGGACAUAGGUCCAAUGAAAUGUGAAUUCUCCUUUGGACAGGAGAGCAUCUCCAUCAGAAGAGGAAUAUCCCCACCUGAGAACAAUCUCUGACCAGGGGAUUUGGACACUGCAGGGAGGCAAAUACAGGGAAGCUAGGAUUUUAGAUUCUAUCAGAAGAUAGAAAAAGGCGAAUUAGCUGUUCCAGAUUUGUCAUUUAGCAUGCACUGUUCCAUUUGCCCGAAUUUAUAUGCACAAAGACAAAAACCUUCCUGCUUCAAGACAGUUGCUAGGGCUCUUAUUCAAACCUACCCAUGUGCUGGAUGCCUUACAAAGAUUGACAGAACCCACUCCAGCAAUCUUAUAAUUUAGUAUGCUAACAGGAAAAAGAAUUAGUAGAUGGUAAACUCUUCAGGGUAGGCACAAGGUAACAAUGGGACAAAACUGGUCAGUCUAUGCUCAGCAGCCACAAGACCCUAUCUGCCUACCCAUUAUUGAGUUUUCUGUAAGCAUUAUGUUUCAAGAGAGCAUUAAGAGGGGAUUUGAAGAAUGGCAGAGUGGCUUUAUGGAUUUUUGCAGGGUGCUAGUUCCUCACAUGAAAAGGGGUAGCAACGGAGAAAGUAGGAAGGUGUUUUGUUUUUUCUAAAUGACAACUACCCUCUUAAAAUUGGCAUCGUUUACAGAACAGAGGCAGGGCUGCUGUCUCAUUAUCUAGACAAGGGUAUUGAGUCAGAUAAGGAUAGACCUUGUGUUUGAUGCAGGGAAGAGGGGAAACCAGGGGAGGGAUGUAGAAAAGGGCUGAACAACAUAUGGUUGAAGCAACAAUCCAGAAAGACAUUUUGAAUGGUGUAAGAAAGACAGGAUGACCCUGGCAGGGGUCCUGUUUUAUGGGGGUCAACCUGGCGAUUGUCCAGUCACUGGACCUAUGCAGUGCAGCAGCAGAUCGGGUUAUGCCCUGGCAGCUGCAGAGAGGAGUGGGUAGUGGAAAGUAUACGGAGUCUGGGUCAUAGGUGUGUAAGGAACUUGGGGCUCGGGAAAGGAUGAGGAUGAUAAGUGGAACAGCAAGAUGGAGAAAGGGAAGUUGAAAGAAUAUCAUGCAAGUGAGAGAGGGAUCACAGAUGAGUGGAGGGUGAAAGAAAAAAUGGGGCAGAAGAAAGCAGAGAAUAGGGGCUCUCCAGAGGAGAGGGUUAAGUGCUGGGCCUAUCUUGUAGGCAGUUGAUAUUAUACUCAAUCCUGGCCCUGUGAUUUUUUGUUGAUCCCUAGGUGUUGGAUCCAGUUCUGAGGCUUCAUUCUGCAGCCAGGAAGCGCUCAUCAAUGUCUUCUGCUGUACGAAAUACCAACUCCUUGACAUACGAAAGUAUUUUCUUCCAGAAAUUGCUAAAAGCUUGGAGCCCAGAUCCUGACUGUACUUUGAAACACACACCUACCUAUCCAUGACUUGGAGGUAGCAGAGCCAAAGGUUUGAAUAUCCUUGUGUAUCUUUGUUUUUAUUGCGGGAGUUUUUAAGUGUUUUUUUCUCUCUGAUCCAUUACUGUUAAAUAAUUCGCUGAAAUUGUGUAAAAUACAGAUGCAUAUAAGCUAAGCUGGUUAUUAAAAAAGCCUUUCUAAAACCUUUUAUGUAGAGCAGUAACAUUUACCCGUUGUAAAUCCAGAAUUUAGAUUUUGUGUGGGAUGAGAUGAAGGGGUAAUUACAAUACCUAACAGGCCAAUUUCUAUUUUCUGAAAUGGACUCAAGGGCUUUCUCUUUCUCCUCUUUUUCUUUUAAAGACCUUUUUUCCCCCCUCAGAACCACUGUUAAUGUGUACCAGCACACUCAGUGGUGGUACACUGGAGAUGAUUUUGACUGAUUUGGAGUAAAAGUAUUUUCAUGAACAAUGUUAGUCCUUUCCUUUUUAAUUAAAAUUGCUUUGGAGACAAUUUUAACAUCCCACUGCAAUGUUGUGAAACUAAACAGCAUUGUUCAAGUGCAUCAGAAAAAUAAAGUGAAAUGGACUAGAAACCAUGAAA